rnacentral:lncRNA from 10 species
CUGAAAUAUGGGACCCUCAAUCUGAAUAUUGCCAAGGGAUUGUACAUGGGGAUCUGUAUUUAAUAUAAACAUUUCAGUAUAUUGGGUAAAACUUUUAUUAAAAUACAUCAAAUAAUCUUUGAUCUACUAAACCAGGAGUUGGCCAGCUUUUUCUGCAAAGAGCUAGUCGGUAAAUAUUUUAGGCUUUGUGGACUACAUAUAUGUAUUUUCUUGAGACAGGGUCUCACUCUGUUUCCCAGGCUGGAGUGCAGUUGUGUGAUCAUGGCUGACUGCAGCCUCGACUUUCUGGGCUCUAGUGAUCCUCCCACCUCAGCCUCUCUACUAGCUGGGACCACACGUGUGCAACAUCACACCCAGGUAAUUGACACUAUGGACUGUAAAGUGAAUAAGCAUGGCUGUGUUCCAAGAUACUUGACUUAAAAAAACAGGCAGUGGGCUGGAUUUGGCCCACAGGUGCUUAUUUGUUGACCCUAGUGCUAAAAGGAAGGUGCUGCUAAUGCAGUGACUCCUACUUGUAAAAGUGCCCUGCGUGCGUGACAUUAUCCUUCCUUUGAGAAAAGGAUAUAUUUCAGUAUUCACCUCACCAUAUUUUUCCGGUGACUUCAUAUGAUUUUGAAAACUUCAUGUAUAAAAUAAGAUUAUUUCCUGCAUUUCUCCCACUUUAUUCCUGUUAAUAGAACUCAGUAUUUUACUGUGAUCAGUUACUUUGUAUAUUUGAUGAGUGUCAACUGUCCUAGAAUUAGCUGAUUUUUAUCAAGCAAGAAAUAUUCUCCUUGAGACUUUUAGUAUUUCUUGGUCUUUAUGUAUAAGCACGAACAAAAUGAUAAUCAGCUUAUGUAAUCUAGAAAUGUUCAAGGGGCCUUUAAAACCUUGGUCUGGCAUUUUUAAAUGCCAUAUGUGUAUAAUUUUUAUAACCUUUAAAAUAUAUAAUUGUUACAUAAAAUUUGAAAACUCCACCUGUUAUGUAAAAUUUGGAAACUACUAUUUCUUGUCUAUCACUUUUCCAUGACUGUGGACGAAAAUUACAUCAUUCUCAGUCAUGAGUGUUGAGUAUGUUGUCCUUAAAGAACUGUCUACACUCAUGAACUCAAAUUUUCUUUCCAUUCACUCUUGAUCUCAAUGCCGGUAAGUCUUCAAUUUCAGCACUCCUCCAGAGUUGUUUUUCCUCCAGAUUAUCACUAAUUUUUUUAAAUUAUACUUUAAGUUUUAGGGUACAUGUGCACAAUGUGCAGGUUAGUUACGUAUGUAUACAUGUGCCAUGCUGGUGUGCUGCACCCAGCAACUCGUCAUUUAGCAUUAGGUAUAUCUCCUAAUGCUAUCCCUCCCCGCUCCCCGCACCCCACAACAGUGCCCAGAGUGUGAUGUUCCCCCUUCCUGUGUCCAUGUGUUCUCAUUGUUCAAUUCCCACCUAUGAGUGAGAACAUGGGGUGUUUGGUUUUUUGUCCUUGCGAUAGUUUACUGAGAAUGAUGAUUUCCAAUUUCAUCCAUGUCCUUACAAAGGACAUGAACUCAUCAUUUUUU